ensembl:lncRNA
CCCUCCCGCACCGUCCCCUCUUCGGCCCCGGCCCACCCCGAGGAGACGCACCGCCCCGGAGCCGGGCACGGGGCGCGCCGGUGUCAGCAAUAAAGCGAAUUAAAGGGAUUUAAAAAUUAAUUCUCCUCAUUUAGCCACCGAUCUGUUAAUGAGGCGCGGAAAGCCCCGGGGAUCGAUAGUCGCGGGUGAAAACGAAGUAGGUGAAGGAGGUGCCUGCUGAACGGUAAAAGGUUUAUAGAGGAAGUAUCCGCAUUUCGGACGAUGUAAAGCAAGCAAGUUGUGUGGCACUGAGUUGGAUGCCCGGGAGAGAUGCAGUGGCAGAGCGCCCAUCGUUGGAAGCACAGUUUGGCAGUUUCCUGUGUUGCCCAAGGAACUGGGACUGCCCGGGCAGAGAGCUCAAGGUUGUCUUACAGCUGAAGGAGGGAAAAUAGAGCAGCAACAACUGAGGCAAGCUUUCAUCAGAGUUUUGAACACCGCACUACAAAUUGUAUGCCAAAGAAAUGCUUCCAUCUCACACUGUCCUCCAGACCAGAGGGAUUAUAUGGGCUUUCAGAAUCUUAUUAUACGUGGAGAAAUGCACAUAUCUUGCCUGAAGGACAUCUCAGAGAAAACUCGAGAACAGCUGCCUGGCAGAGGGCAGCGGUGGAUUCUUUGUGGACUGCUGAAGAAGGUUGGCACGAAUUACAAGGCUGAAGCACAAUCCAGAGCAGGAGGACAGAAGGGACGUCCCCAUGUUUGGAAUCAGCCUGCUCCACAGCUGGUGGCUGCAGCAGCACCAGAGAUGGGUGCUGCCAGGUGGG